UACGUAGGGUGCAAGCGUUGUCCGGAAUUAUUGGGCGUAAAGAGCGCGUAGGCGGUUCGUCGCGUCGGCUGUGAAAACCCGGAGCUCAACUCCGGGCCUGCAGUCGAUACGGGCGGACUCGAGUUCGGCAGGGGAGACUGGAAUUCCUGGUGUAGCGGUGAAAUGCGCAGAUAUCAGGAGGAACACCGGUGGCGUAGACGGCUCUCUGGACCGUAACUGACGCUGAGACACGAAAGCGUGGGUAGCAAACAGG
rnacentral:rRNA from 1 species